rnacentral:rRNA from 1 species
UAUCGGAUUGAUACUAAGCCAUGCGAGUCAUUGCAGUAAUGCAAGGCAGACGGCUCAGUAACGCGUAGUCAACCUACCCUAUGGACGGGAAUAACCUCGGGAAACUGAGUAUAAUGCCCGAUAGAACACUAUUCCUGGAAUGGUUUGUGUUCCAAAUGAUUUAUCGCCGUAGGAUGGGACUGCGGCCUAUCAGUUUGUUGGUGAGGUAAUGGCCCACCAAGACUAUUACAGGUACGGGCUCUGAGAGGAGUAGCCCGGAGAUGGGUACUGAGACACGGACCCAGGCCCUAUGGGGCGCAGCAGGCGAGAAAACUUUGCAAUGUGCGAAAGCACGACAAGGUUAAUCCGAGUGGUUCGUGCUAAACGAACCUUUUGACAGUCCUAGAAACACUGUUGAAUAAGGGGUGGGCAAGUUCUGGUGUCAGCCGCCGCGGUAAAACCAGCACCUCAAGUGGUCAGGAUGAUUAUUGGGCCUAAAGCAUCCGUAGCCGGCUCUGUAAGUUUUCGGUUAAAUCUGUACGCUCAACGUACAGGCUGCCGGGAAUACUGCAGAGCUAGGGAGUGGGAGAGGUAGACGGUACUCGGUAGGAAGGGGUAAAAUCCUUUGAUCUAUUGAUGACCACCUGUGGCGGAGGCGGUCUACCAGAACACGUCCGACGGUGAGGGAUGAAAGCUGGGGGAGCAAACCGGAUUAGAUACCCGGGUAGUCCCAGCUGUAAACUAUGCAAACUCAGUGAUGCAUUGGCUUGUGGCCAAUGCAGUGCUGCGGGGAAGCCGUUAAGUUUGCCGCCUGGGAAGUACGUACGCAAGUAUGAAACUUAAAGGAAUUGGCGGGGGAGCACCACAAGGGGUGAAGCCUGCGGUUCAAUUGGAGUC